AUUCCCGUUGAUCCUGCGGGAGAUCGCUGCUAUUGGAAUUCGGUUUAGACAUGCAAGUUAGCCCUCUUCGGAGGACGGCAAAAGGCUUAGUAACACGUCGAUAAUCUGCCUUAUGGUCAAGUACAUACUUGGGAAACUAAGGGAAAUGCUUGAUAAGGAAUUACAACUGCAAUGUGUUUUUCCUGAAAGCUUCGGCGCCAUAAGAUGAGUCGGCGGCUGAUUAGUUUGUUGGUGAGGUAAUGGCUCACCAAGGCUAAGAUCAGUAGGGGGAGUGAGAGCUCUAGCCUCAAGAAGGGCACUGAGAAACUGGCCCUAGUCCUAAGGGAUGCAGCAGUCGCGAAAACUUUACAAUGCACGAAAGUGUGAUAAGGGAAUUCCAAGUGUCUAUUUAACAAUAGACUUUUGCCAAGUGUAAGUAGCUUGGAGAAUAAGUGGUGGGCAAGACCGGUGCCAGCCGCCGCGGUAACACCGGCGCCACGAGUGGGGAUCAUAUUUAUUGGGUCUAAAGCGUUUGUAGCUGGUUUAAUAACUCUCUUGUGAAAUUGUUCUGCUUAACUUAACAAAUUGCGAGAGAAACUGUUAAAAUUGAGACCGGGAGGGGAUAAGAGUAUUCCAAGGGGAGCGGUAAAAUGUUAUAAUCCUUGGAGGACUACCAAUGGCGAAGGCACUUAUCCAGAACGGGUCUGACAGUGAGAAACGAAGGCUAGGAGAACGAAAAGGAUUAGAUACCCUAGUAGCCCUAGCAGUAAACGCUGUGAGUUAGGUGUUGUAUAAUCUACGUGAUUAUACAGUGCCGUAGGGAAGCCGUUAAACUCACCACCUGGGAAUUACGAUCGCAAGAUUGAAACUUAAAGGAAUUGGCGGGGGCGCACACAAGGAGUGAGGUGUGCGGUUUAAUUGGAUUCUACGCCGUUAAUCUCACCAGGAGCGACGGCAG
rnacentral:rRNA from 1 species